rnacentral:rRNA from 1 species
UCCAGAUUGAACGCUGCCGGCAUGCUUUACACAUGCAAGUCGAACGGCAGCGCGGGGCAACCUGGCGGCGAGUGGCGAACGGGUGAGUAAUACAUCGGAACGUACCCAGAAGUGGGGGAUAACGUAGCGAAAGUUACGCUAAUACCGCAUACGUUCUACGGAAGAAAGUGGGGGACCUUCGGGCCUCAUGCUUUUGGAGCGGCCGAUGUCUGAUUAGCUAGUUGGUGAGGUAAAGGCUCACCAAGGCGACGAUCAGUAGCUGGUCUGAGAGGACGACCAGCCACACUGGGACUGAGACACGGCCCAGACUCCUACGGGAGGCAGCAGUGGGGAAUUUUGGACAAUGGGCGCAAGCCUGAUCCAGCAAUGCCGCGUGAGUGAAGAAGGCCUUCGGGUUGUAAAGCUCUUUUGUCACGGGAAGAAACGGCUGCUAGCUAAUAUCCUGCGGCUAAUGACGGUACCGAAGAAAGACCCGAUCCCC